UGGAAAUGAUGAAAUAGAGAUAUUUGGGUGUUGAAUGGUGUGUGACUGGAAAGUUUUUAUAUGCAUUUGAGUAAUUCUAGUUUAAUAUUUUGUAGAUACUUGAGAGAGAGAGAGAGUGUGUGUGUGUGUGUAUGUGUGUGUGUGUCCGUGAAUGCGGCGGCUAUGGAAGGGGGCACUGAACGGUGAUGCUGAUAUUGGAGUGCAUCUGAGGCAGUUGCAGACAUACUGGGUGUUGAUCACAACAUUGCCGAUGAUUAUAACCCAAAAACAGCUCACCUGCCUAGCCCAGCAUCCUCAAAUCUCUAACAGGUUCAUGGAACAUGACCCUGUGUUCUGAUCCAA